CAGAAACCGCCGCGGAGCACGACAGCCGCGCGAAAAUACGUUCGCGGCUGUCGCGAGGAUAUUGCAUUUCGUGAUGUAUUUUUGUUACGGCGACGACGACGACGAUGUUCCGUUUUCCGCCGGAGACCUUUACGACAACCUUCGAAAUCGGCCCGCGCGUCCGGUAAGUAAACCCGUUGUGCCAUUAUCGCCCCGAUAUUAUUAACAUAUUAUGAAAACGUCGACGCUCGCGUAUUCGGCUCCCGUUUUCGCGGAUACGGACGCGCCCGGUGACUCGACGGUCUCGCGGAUUUUUCAAACCGAACGACAAAUGCGGCGCGGUAAACCGGGUUCGAGUUGUCCGUGCGCCGUAUGUAUUAGGUACGCCAAGUCGCCCGGUCCACCUGUGGCUUACCCGGGAAUUUUUUAACGAGAGGAGAGAGGAGUGGGUGGAGGGGUGUGGGGUGGUUGAACGGUGCAAACGAAAAUUGUUUAACAUUAUAAAUACAUAACAAUAAUGCGAGCGAGAUAUUUCCAAAUCUGCAGAUACGCUUUAUGCUCGUAUGGUCCUUUUUCCGAGUAAACACGAUUGUAUAGGUACGAUACCAUUAUUUGUACAUUUAUUAUUUAAUAGUUGAGUUAGACGUUAUAGGUACAUGUGCAAAUAUUAUUAUUUUAUUAACUAAAAAAUUGGUCGACGCAUUGUUUCUAUUAAAAUUAUUUUUAUUUUUUGUAACAAGGCCAAUAAGGGGAGGGGUCUAUAAAGUCUCAUUGCCCUGCCUCUGGUGUCACCACUUUCCUACGCAACUCGCUUGCACAGUUUGCGCGUAGACGUUUUCUGAGAGGAGGGGAGGGUAAUAAGAAGAGAAAAUAAUAUCUCCACCCCGUAAUAUUUUAAUCUUUGGUAUUACUAACAAAUAACAAAUAACUGAUUUCUAUACUGGGAGGAAUACAUCUGGUUAAGCCUUCUCUUUUCCGUCCCCAAUCGAUAUUGAAUUUCACCGCGGGCUACUUUUCACCCAAGAUUACGCCUAUGUACCCGUGUGUUCCUCAAUUCAUCUGUGAUGGCAUCAAAGAUGGCUUUAUCACUCACCGUGUUUCUGAAUCGGUUGGCGAAGUGUGGUGGACUAGAAUGUGUGUUUGUUAUCUCAUUUUUUUUUUUUAUGGCAAAAGCCGAUAACAGUUAUAAUAUUUAAUUAUAAUCAUUAUAGAUUCAGGUUUCAUAAUAACACUGCUUGAAACGAUGUUAUUUUAAUAUUUAAUGGUGCCAUCAGUGAUGCCGCCGCCGAUGCCAUCACAGAUGAAUUAAAGGAACACGUGGUAUACACCGACUUAACAGACUGCAGAGGUGGAGAACCACGACAGGACCACGAAUGAAAAUCAUUUAGUUAUCACAUUCAAAGGGAAGGCUCGAAAAUUAUAGUUUUAACGUGCAAUGUUUUUUUAUAUGUUUUUACAUGAACCUAUGCCGGGACCAAAAAAAAAAAAAAAAGAAGAUUUUUUACGUGUGUCGCGUUAAAAUAUUUGCAUAACUCGGUAACUACUGUUCUUUUUUUUAUUAUUAUUAUUAUUUAUAAUAGUAGGUGCCAGCAACAAUAAUCAUAUAAAAAUUGCACAACAAAGCAUAAAAACACAUUAUCACGUUUUUAAACAUUUCUAGCCAUAUGGCACAAAUUCUCGAAAUGGUCGUUUUUUUUUUUAUAUAUAUAUAUUUCUUGUUUUUUCUUGACUUUCAAACUCAAUUGCCCCGCGGACGGCCUUGGUUUUUAUUUUCAAUUACUAUAUUGCCUAGACGUACGUAUUAUAUUGUGUACAUUAUAUUGUAUAGUUAACCAUGCCCAUGCGCGUCACUAAAGUAAAAAUUCUGUUGCAGCAAAAAAAAAAAAAUUAUCUAUAAAAUAUUUGCGUCCUGUUUAUUUUUCGAAAGUGAACAAAUAAUUCGCCGCUAUUAUCGGUAAUUCUAUAAUCAACACUUUAUAUUCGAAUACAGAUAAUUGCAUGCCAUUACAGUAGUGUAAAUAAAUUAAAUUCAGAUUUUUCAACUUUAGAAUUGAAUUAAAAACUGCACAUUUCGUGUGUCGGUACUUAAGUACCGGAUCGAAAACAAUUAAUGUUAUCACAUUAUCAUAUUAUAUAUAUAUAUAUAUAUUAUUUUGUAUAAAUACCUACGUCGAUAGUAAACAAUUUUUUUGACCACGAUAAUUGUACUUCACACUGUACAUUAAUCACAACUUCCAACUAUAAAACCGGAAAAUUUUCGUUAAGACGCGUACCUAUACAAUAAAUAUCGAUUAUAAUAAUUAAUACAUUUUCAAAAUUCAAGUAUUUUUUUUAUGGCGUCGUUUCGUCACCCCAAACAAAUUUAUGGGGUAACAAAAGUACCUCUCGACACCCCUUUGUGACGCCUAUGCAGUUUACGGUUAUUAGGAACCGCAUAGCCGCUGCAACUCCCUGCCACUAUAUAACAAUACCCGUCACAAGACUUAUUAUGUACUUACUGCACUCAGCAGUAUUCCGGUACGGUAUUGCGAUUACGACUCCUAUAUAGGCUUUAUAUCCCAAUCCCGAAUCGAUACGAAAGUAAUUCCGGUGAAAUGGCCAAAACGCGAUAAAAAAUAAAUAAAUAAUAAUAAUAAAAAAAAACAUUCGUGAAAAUCCUCUAUAUACAAAACAAAAAAAAACCCAAUGUCAAUGCAUUUAUCGAGUUGGAAACUACUACAAAACGCCAUUAAAAUGGUUUUUUUGUUCACGUACAUUUCGAAAGCCUCUUUUUGUCUAUUCUUAUUAUAAGAAAAAAAACAAUGACAUAAUUAUAAUAUUAAUUUAUAUUUUUAUUAUAAAAAUGCAAAUAUUUACUGGAUCGUUUUAAUUAAAUUUUUUAUUUGUAUACUUCAUUGGGGCGCUGUAAAUUUUCUUAAAAAAUACGCGUAUUUUUGUUUAUUACACCCUGCCCAUCCGAAUAAGAAGAAUAUAACUUUAAUAGCGUCGCAUAUAGUCUUUUUUUCACAAAACAUUAUUAGUUUGAAAAGUUUGUUUUGUAGAAAAAAAACACGAAUAUUUUAAACGCUCUCUCUCUCUCUGUUAAAUAUAAUAUUUCGAUAUUUUACAAAAAAGACAAUUUGCCGAUCUCCAGAAUAACCUCUUGCAUUUGUUGUUAUUGAUUUUUUCACGGUCGGCAAAAUUGUUACCUAGGCGCCUAUAUAUCUAGGUGCCGAAUUUUCCGAUAAAUUUAACAGAAAAAAUUAUCGAUUUUAAUGACGAAAUAUAUAGACAUUCCGCUUCAAGCAACAGCUGUGACAUAGUCGCACGACUAUAUUUUGAUGUUAUUACAGUUUACUUGUAAUUUAGUAUUAUGGUAACACGAACGCGUUGUGUCCGAUUUACACUUUACACAGCAAGACACGGCACGACACGACAAAAUAUCCAAUCAAAGAAUGUUUUGUCGGUCUGUCGGUGUCUGUCGGAAUCGAUUUAAUUAAAAUAUACAUAUUUUAAAUUCUGAGCGGAACGAGGAAUGUAUUGGUUUUACAAUGAUGGGUUUUAUUUUUUUUUUCAGUUGACAAUUUUACUGCCAACAAUUUUUUUCCGAUUUACAAUGACGACACUUUUUCUGAAAGUAAAUCCGACUUUUUCCAGCAGUUUUUAUAAUAAGUAGGAAAAACCAUGAGAAAAUCGUAAAAAUCGUACAAAAAACGAGAAAAUAGGUACAAUUUUAAACAAAUAUUAUUAAAGAAAAUGUACAACGCAUAUGUAACUAUUGUAUCAUAAUAUGACAUAUACAUUGUUUAGAAAGCAACGCUAAUAAUCAAACUCUGCUCAGAAUCGUUUUUCGUUAGCAACGAUUAAUUUUUGCGUACGGAUAUACAUUGAAAUUCCCCUCUAAAUUCGCAACUUCUCGUCUACAAUAGUGCCCCCCCCACCCGUCGUGCAGAGUAUGUCCGUAGUUUUAUAAUACAAAUCUAUAAAAAUAAAUCCGAAAAAAGUCUUAAUUACGAAAUUAUAAAUGUGUAGGUACUCAUUUUUUUUGAACCGAUAAGGAAAAACAAUUUUGUUUCCGGUGUCGGAAAAAUCGUUAAAACACAAAAAUCCGACCGGUCGAACCUAACCGACCGAAACAAAACAUGCGCGUAUGUUGUAAUCGAACAAAUAUCGGUUUGAAAUAGCGUGGGUUUAGUGCGUGCCUCUGUGGUCGCCGGUCGGUCAUGAUAAUAAUAUUAUGUGAACUGCACGACAUUUUUGUCCGUGCCGUGUCGUACAAGUGUCAAUCGGACUUUACUCGCGUGUAUCGGUUAGGCGCAACAAACAAAAUUACUCGUAAUUUAAUAUUAUGGAAACGUGCGUUAUGCUGCAGCAGCUAUCUAUCACUCUGUGGCCGCGGUACGCUCGAAUAUAUUAUUAUACUGUUCACAUCGAGAUAAUGAUAAUAACUUUGCGAUUGAAUAAAAACGGCAGUGUAGAAUUUUGCGUUUGAUCUAUACGCGUAUAGGUACCGCGUAUAUAAUAUUACAAUGUACCAGUACUCGACGCGUACGAGUAUGAUGUAAACAAAAGCGAUCGCGUCGAAUUUUAAUUAAAAAAAAAAAAAAAAAAACCGCGUUCUCUUUCUUGUGUUUAUAAACUGCACGAAAACACCGUGAUACGUGUAACGCGCCCGAAAAUCGAUGUCUGUCUCAGAUACACUCAAUAUAACGUAGACAAACGUAAACACAUUGUUCACUAUUCCACGCGGAUUUCGACGACCCGAUAUCGUUGUUAUGAUUUAUUUUCACAUCGGAACGUCGAAAUUCGCAAUAAGCACAAUCAAAAUAACGCAAUACCAGUUUAAAUACGAUCACGUUUAAAACAUCCGAAGUUAUGCGAACGGAUCGGUUGAUUCGUUUAUUUGACGGACAAACGCACGACUCCGGUAAUACAUCAGUAGAAUAUUAUGGCUUACAGAAAAAAAAAAAAAAAAACCCAGUAAAAUUAAUAAUAUUGUAAAGUAUUUUAUCAACUGUUCUGAAUCAAGUACUGAACCGCUGUUUUCAUCUAAAAUUGGCCGUGCACAUUCUUAACACUCUCAAAUGUCUGAAAUUGAUUGUACCAGGUGUUAGAUAUUACUGAAUGUAAACGUUUCUUUGUUAGAUUAUCAAAGGAUUAAGCAUUUGUUUCAUCAUUACCUUUGUCGCGUACAGCUUAAACAAUUAAAUAUACGAUUAAAAUAUAUUUAUUAUGUGUUUGUUUAUUAUGUUGAUUAAAUUGCCUAUAGACUUAAUACAAAUGUCCAAUUUUUAAAAAUAGGUAUAAAAUGCACGUAUCGUAAAACAUUCCCUGAACGAAUUUGUUCGGUAAAAAUAAAUAGUUGGACCAUAUAUAUACCUGUAUACUGGUCAUAACGAAAGUAUAGGUCAUUAAAAAAAAAGUCCAAAUUUCAGGAAUAGGUUUUUCUUAAUUUUUAACGACUAUGAUUUUCAAUGAUAGAUAGUUAGAUAGCGAACUAGUUAGUUAGAUAGUUCGAUAUAUCAGGCGUUAGUUUAGAAAACGCUAAUAUUUGAACGAUCGGUGGUUCAAACCCCGUCGGAGUGCAAAGAAUCGUUUUUCAUUUUUUAAGGAAUAUUCUAAGGAUAAAAAAAAACGGACGUCUGGACAUUCUAUGGGUAUCCUAAGUACGGGUACAGCCCAUUCGUGCCUUUGCAGAGUAGCCGAAAUGCGCCCCGGGGGAUGUGGAUAAAUGUGCCCAAACGAUAAGGGUACCUGUCGAUUUAUAGCCCAUAUGCGUCCAUUUCGUGUGCAACGUUACCGUCAUUAUUCGCAUAUAUAAAUAUAUAUUUUUCUAAUUCUGAGCGUAGCAAGAAAUGCAUCUAUUGGUUUUGCAAUUAUGUAUUACGCGAUACAAUAUUAUUAUGUGAGGUUUAUACGAAAAGUAAAAAAAAUAAACCAAAUCUUAUGAAAUAAAGUAUAGGUACAUGUAGAUUAAUCACCUAGAUAAAUAGAUUGCAAUACUUUAAUAAUAUUCGUCCUAACGCUAUGGUUUACGUGUAUGUAGGCACAUACAAGUUUUGUAUGUUAAUCAUUUAUUUUUUUGCUUUACAUAAAAAAAAAAAAAAAGUGUUAAUAUAACAAUAACUUCGUGUGAUUCUAGUUUCGUGUAAAUGAAAUGUUGCGAAACGCGUGCACAGGGUGAACUAUCCGUGAAUGAUAUUCGAUAAUAUACCGGUCACGAAACGCAAUUAAAAUAUAAUGGAAUGGUAUUCGAUAAUAUCGAUAAGGGUGCAACGUAAAAACCGACUAAAAACCGUUGAAAUUGGUAUCGCACUGUAUUCCAGCACAGAGAUCGGCAACGUUGCACGGUUUUAAAGCCAAGUUUUGUAUGUUAAUCAUUUAUUUUUUUGCUUUACAUAAAAAAAAAAAAAAAAAAAAAGGUGUCGUGGGCACAAGUGGGUUUCUCCGGUACGUACGUCUCACGGCCGUGAUUCUGUUGUGCGAGAUUAUGAUUGUGUGAUACAUAAUAACUGUUUACGGAUGUUGAAACAAUGUUUUGCGAAAGACGCCACCGCUACGGAAAUAUCAUCACAAAGAUGGUAAACAUACAUAGGUGGACGGAACGCAAUUUUCGAUGGUCCAUCAUUACGAAUAUGCGAGUUGACAACUUUUCAAAAACCUCUUCAAUUGUUACUCAGUGUUUGCGCGAAACGUUUGCCGUAUGGGUGUAAUAAUAUAAUAUUAAACCAUAGACAAUAAUAAAAACUAAAGUAAAGCGUCAAGUUUGAAAAGCGAAAUUUCCAAUUGGAUUGUUUCGUAUAAUAAAAACAAGAAAUUAUUGUCCACAGAUGAGAAACAUAAUAGUAGUAUAUAUAUUGCGUUUUAUGUGACAGAAUUGUGACUUUUGUUAAACAAAAACUUUAGACUAUCCAUUUCUAAAUUCCAAAACAAGUUAAUUUUUUAAUUUUAUACUGAUAUUACGUACUUUAUUUCAAAAAUAUUCGAAUAUUUGUAUACAGUUAUUAGAAAUAUAAAUCACUCUUACAAAUAAAUUUAUAUUUUAAAUGACUGUUUUCCUUUAACACCACACGUCUACCUGUAAUAGUACGCAAUGUACGCGUACAAGUAUAAAACAGAAAAAGAUUUUUAUAGACGUGUAGUGUUGUGGAGGAAAACAGACAUUUAAAAUAUAAAUUUAUUUGUUAGAGUGAUUUAUUUUUUAAUACAAUAGUCAAAACUAAUUUGUUGGGCCGUUUUUGAGAGUCUUUGUACUUGGUAGUGCAAAAUAAUCCUUAUUUUGGAUCAUUAUACAUCAGAUAGGGUAACUUGUGGUACUGGAGGAAAACAGGCAAUUUUAAGAUGAAUAAAUAAUAACAGAUCGGGUUUUUUAUUUGAUUAAAACUAAUUUGACUAUGUAAAAUUUGACUGAUACAAUGGUCUAAACUAUUUUGUUGUACCAUUUCAAUAUUGUUUCAUGCAAUGUGGUGCCAUUUUCCCAGCACCACAUUUUCUUUUAUUCACAGAGCUUUUAAUUUUGUCCAACAUUCUCCAACAAACAUCCACAAAUUUCCAUCAAACCCAUGUAAAUAUUGUUGGAUGAAUUUUUCAAACUUUAAAGCCCAAUAUGGUGUUACUUGAUACCGAAAAUUUCAAAUUUGAAUCACUUUUUAAAUUUUCUUCAAUAAAUUCCAACAACUAUCCAACUACAAUAUCCAACAACUCAGAGUAGAAAUUGUAAGAAUAUUUUUUUAUUUUUUUGUGAACUUCCAGCAUCACGUACCUGCGCGGCAUUCUUUCUUUUAAUUCUUUUAAUAUCUAACAAUUUUAAAUAAUAACUCUUUUUUACUCGUCUGCAGUAAACCGUUCAUCAGUGCAGUAUAUAUUUAUAUCUAUACAUUGUAUUGUAGAAGGUUUUUAAUAAUACAACUUCUUCGUGAAUCCGACGUUUUUCUCGGUUAAUUUUUUAUAAUAAGUACGUUCGUUUUAUCUUUCUUUUUUUCUUUUUAUAAAGUAAUUUUCAUUUUGUACAUAGCAGUCUGAAGAAAUUGCACUUUUUAUAAUAUUAUUUUUACAGCAAUAACAAAACAUAAUUUAAAUAAGUAAUUAUUUAAAAUAUUUAUGCAUAGGUAUAUGUUUUUUUUUAUUAGAAAUUUCAAAAUGAGUAGGUAUAUAAUCUCGGUCAAUUGUCUUAUGUAAUAUAUUAAAAGGUGAGCUGUAGCAAUCGGAAAUAAACAAAUAUUAAUGAUUUCUUAUUUUUUUUACACGUCUUUUGAAAAUGUCAAAUCUCAGUUUUUCUUUCUCUCUUUAGUUUCAAAUUCCGAGAAAAAAUGCGUAGGUAUAUAAUCAUGUUUUUUUUUUUUUUUUUUUAUGAAAAUAAUUUAUAAAAGUAUAGAGGCACGACAAAGAAAUAUUAUUAUUACGCUAUACACAACUUGCUGUAAUGCAGUGAACACAAUAUUGUUAAACAUUAAAUUGUUAUAUGCGUGUAACAAACGAGAUUCAGUAUUUGAUUCUAUUAUAUACACAUCGGCAUUGUCGACAAAUCGAAAUAAAAAAACCUGAAAAAUAAUUUGCAUCAGCUGAUGUGAUUAUAGUAAAUACUAAAUAUACUGUAUGAUUAUAAUUUUGUUUGACAUAUGAAAAUAAGAACAUAUAUUGUAAUAUGCAAAAUACGAAUUUACUGAUUCAAAAAAAGUACUAUUCUUGGGAAUUGGAUUGUUGAUAAAAAAAAAGUAGUUCACAGAUAAAAAAAAAUAUUGCUGAUGGGUGUGCAUUGCUGUAGGUAGGAAGUUGUGAAGGUCGGAUGCAUACAUUUAUUUAAUUUGUAUCUGAAUACAACGAUAAAUCAUAGCUAAUGAAAGACAAUUCUGAACGAAGUUGGGUUACACGUGUUUUAAAAUGUCAUAAUUUUUAAAAUAUUCGACAAAAUUUGAACUUAAAACUCAUUUUAAAAAAACUACCAUAUUACGCUCAACUUUUUUUUUUUACAACCAAGUAAAACUUAUAAUGAACCACGUGUUAAAUCAAAACAAUUUUAAUCCAAAAUCCUUUUAAAUAAUAACUCAAAAAACGCCAAAUGUUUUGAAAAAUUCUAUCACACCUUAUAAACGCUAAUAUAAUAGUGAUAAUAAUAGUAAUAGUAUAUUUUAGAUCUUUAUGGUUGUUUUUAACCGAAUAACUAAAUAGAAAAAAAAAAUUAAAAUAAUUAAACUAUUAAUGCCGUUUAUUAUUUUUCACAAUUACUAAGAAAACUGCAAAGAUAAUAAAAAAAAUAUACCUCCCCAAUGCACCAACUAGAUACAAUUUACUACGAAAAAUCUGUCUGGUAAUUUUAAGUUUGAACAAAAGGAAAGUAGUGGAGCAUAAUUUGUGUUGGUGCGGAGCGCGUGGAGGGUAAAUGAUACUCCAUUGCUCUUCUACUGAACUUAAGAGCAAAAUAUUUCGUUCAAAGGUUGUCGAAAAUUAAUAAUGUCCAUACCAAUUUGGUAUGUAAACUAAAACUUCAUGUAUUUUUGUAAUUUUUAAUAUAAGUUGCUACCUGAAAAUCGAAUUCGGGUAGUAAUGUCAUGAACGAAUAUAAGGGUAAAAAAAUAACAAUAAUCCAACGCGACUUGUUUCUUAAAUGAUCUAAAUAUAAAUUCUGAAAAACGUUAUCCGAAAUAUUGAGCGUUUUAUAUGUUGAUCACCCUGUAUAGAAAAUGUUCAAAUCCUGCAGUUACGUUAUGUAUGGUAUAUACAUGUUAUCGCAUAAGGAAAUUUCGACUCAAAAUAAGAUUUCAUUGGAUUAUUUUUUUUUAUUUCUUUUUCUAACAGUUUUUUUUUUUUUGCACAUACUAGAAUAUAACAUAUAAUAUAUAUAUAUAUAUAUAUAUUUAUAUAUAAGGUUUCGUAAAAUAAGAUAGAAUCAGAGACAUGCAUUAUAAUAAUACUGCAGACGAACAUUCGGAAAAUAAAGUGGGCACGCGUGCCGUGAUCGGCAAAUUCUUCAAUACACGCACAUCAAGUUUGAGCGAAAAUAAAAAAAAACAAAACCCAGGAUUACUAUAAUAAAAAAAUCAAGUCGAAUCGUGUAUGUAACCGUAGUUUCUAUAGUAUGUAAAAUGUAGAUAAAUACAAAAAUAUUGAAAACCUUGAUAACCAGAUAUCUCUAGUUUCUUUGAGAAUUCAUUUUUUAAAUAACAAAAUUCUUUAUAUAUUUUGGUGUUAUAAUCAGAUAUACCAAAAAAAAUUAUUACGUGACAGUCAGAUAAAUAUGAAAAAUUCAAAAACAUUGAAUAGAUAAAGUACAAGGACAUAAUAAGAAAAAAUAAAAGCCUUCAAAACUUGGUGCUGGCGUAGGUUAUUCAGUUAUUUAUAAUCUCUUGAAUAGAAAAGGUAACAAAUGAAGAGGCAAACGAUAGAUAUCACAUCUAUAUAAAGAAAUCGAAUAUCACAAAUAAAACAAGGAAUUUAAUAAAACUUCACAAAAUAAUAAAAGGGAAAAUCGAAAGAAAACCAGGAAUAGGAAAGCCAAGGCAGUCAUUUAUACAAUAAAUUAUGUUGGAUACAGGAAAGGAAUCCUGCAAAAAGUUGAAGUAUGGAUAGAGAAGAGUUAAAGAGCAUAAAAUUAUUCUACCAAUCUGCGGAAUGAAAGAGAAAAAAAUUCACUCUCACGGCCCCACAAUAGUAACUAUCAACUAGCAUGUUCGUACGUAUAACAGUGCGUGCUUAAUUGCUUUCAGGAUAAUCCGAUAGUUACUAUCGCUCUGUCAGCUGCCAAUUGUCGAAUUUGCCGCAAUGGAAAUUUAAUUUUUAUGACCUAAAAUUUGAAUAGGUAUUUUAUACUAUUAUCUGAGUUUUGGGUGUUAAGUUUGAACGCAAACAAUUACGAAAGAAUGUAAUUUUAUUUAUUUAAUGUUUAAUUUUGUUUAAUGAUUGCACUUAAUCUUUGUUGUUUUAUUAAAUGCAUUAUAUAAUAAUACGUACGCUCGUGCAUACGUUUAAUAAUAUAUUGUUAUUAUUAUUAUUAUUAUUGUUGUUGUUGCUAUUGUUAAAUAACAAGCAUUUAAUAUCGACAAUGUUCCGGUAUUAGUAGUCUUUCCCGUCAAAACAUGUCGGGCCUAAUCGGGCGAAAAAAAAUGUCAGUCCACAAUGCCGCAAUGGCGGCCGAGGUCAUAACGUCCGAGAGAGUGCGUAAUAAACUACAGUAACAAUUAUAGCCUAAUAUUAAUAGGUGCGCGCGGCACGUGGAGGACAUUACUGUACCGCGACAGUUCGCGUAUCAUUAUCGUAAUAUUUUUCUUUUUCUUUUAUCGUAUUAUUAUUACAUUGCGUUGCGCGGACGUGACAUUGUCGAGACCGAUUACCAUACAUACUUGUAUACACCGUGUCCCACGGAGGAGAUUUGAAAACUGCAAUAACUUUUGUGUUCCGUUCGACAUUUUUAAGUUUUUUUUGUAAUAAUUAAACUACUAUAGAUGUGCUAUGAUUCUUGUGUUUUAUAAAAUCCAAAUAGUUAAAGUAGUUUUAUAAAUAUAAUUCGAAACUAUACCAAUGUUUGCUAACAAUGAGUAGUUUAUUUUCUACAAUUUUUUGAAGUUGAUGAUAAUUUUAAUAGUAUUUUCGUGUCCACUAAGUACUAAAUAAUAGUAUCAAUUAAUUUACCGAUUUUUUCAUGAAAAAUAAUGUUUGUAAACUUCAAACAAUUUAAGAAAAUGAACAACUCAAAAUUUGUAGCACUGAAAUUUUUUAAGAGAAUUUUGUCUAAAAAUGUAUAAACUGUUUAGUUUUAGCAAAAAUAUUAAAAAGAAUAAACAAAGCUCUGUUAAUUAUUAUAUAAAGGAAAACAAUAAAUAAAAUGUCCACGGGUCCUCACAUUAUUCUCUUUCUAAAUCCAUAAUACUAAUUUCGCCAAAACCUCACCCCUCUAAGAGCGUUGCCCUUAUUAUGUAAUCAUCACCCCGACUUUGAUUUCUUCCAUGGUCCCAUAAUUAACAUUAAUAAAUCUUCCACUGAAUUAUUAAUUUCCAUACACGCCAUCCUUAUCGCGGGGAUUAAAGAGCGAAGGUGGGAGUCCCCCUAUUUAUUUGAGGUAAAAUGAUCAGUGCCCAUUCGCUUUAGUGUUCGCAAUCCGGGGCGACGAUUUAAUUUUUGUCACAGAAAAUUGUUUAAUGAAAUUUUAAAAACUCGAAUUAGUUUUUAAUUAAUUCCUUAAUAACUAUUUGAACAUAAAUCUUCGUGGGACACCCUGUACGUGUACUCGUAUUAUACGAGUAUGUGUAUGCUAUGAUAUCAUCACCCCGGAAUCGAACACUUUGUUCGCUGCACGGAAAUUAUGCCGGCUCCGGUAUUUAUAAUAUAACACACACGUAAUAAUAUUAUUAUUAUUGCUGUACGAUAGUAGCGAUUAAAAGGAUAUUAAUAAUGUUAGUUCGAGUGUACAUUUUCGACGAGUGUUUUCUGACAACCUCUCGAGAUAUACCGCUCGCAUAUAGUGUAAUAACCAGGUAAGUACAUACAUCACGCGGUCGUCAGUGAAAACCACGUAUUUAUAUAAAGAGUAAUCGCCCCCCACCACCCUUCAUAAGACGCUUUAGCCAUUAUUGUAUGGUUCGGGACUUAUUGCGCUUAAUUCAAAAAAAAAAAAAAAAAAUGCUUAAAAAUGUUAAUAAAAAAAGCUCUGAAAAUGGUAUUUGAAAAAUAAUUAAAAACAAAAACAGUAGAAGGGUUUAAAGGUCCCCUAACUGUUUAACAGCUCUAAAUUAUUAAAUACAAUUUUCUAACGCUAAACAAAUUAUUGAAUCAGUUGUUUUUUUUUAAAAAACAUAAUUACUUUUGUUAAACAUUUGUGUCGUAUCAGAAAAAAUGUGUUUGAUAAGUCAAAAUCGUUAGGUACUGGACCAUAAAACCUCUACCAUUUUUUUUGAAAUGAUUUUUUUAACAUUUUAAGCGCUUUUUUGUGAACUUUAAGUGGAAUAUGAUCCGAGCCCUUUAGUCAUUAGUAAAGGGCCGACUUUGAUGCAUUUAUAAAAAAUUAAGAUACUAUACCUAUGCAAAAUAAAAUUUUGAAAUACGUGUUCAAACAUCAAAAUAUGCACUAAAAUACUAAAAUAUCAACUAUUAAUUAUUUAAAUAUAUAUAUAUAUAUAUAUAUAUUGGUAGCAGAUAAAUAUAUGCAUUAACAGCGCAAAAUAUAAAACAAAUUAUGCUCAUUUGACUUUUAACAUUGAAGGAAAAAUUAGACACUGGUCUUUUCAGCAUUUUUCCUAUAUUUUAUUGGAACAUCUUGGUUUAAGACACACGCAGAUUUGUCGAUUUUUUUUUAAACGACAGUCCGGCAUCUAUAGGUAUAUCCAUAGAUAGAUAUAUCGAAGAGGUUAUUUCAGUAGAAAUAAUUAAUUGUUUCGACGUCGACGGGUUUUUUUUUUUUUUUUUUUUAAUUUCAUUUAACUAAUCUGUAAACGGCAAAAUCAUUUAUUAAAAAACUGUAUAUUUUGUUGAUCAUAUUAUAUACGUAUGCGGUUAUUGUCGUUUAAAGAUCGAAAUUCCUAGGACUUUAGUACAUUGUAUUUAUAGUUUAACAUCGAUAAAAAAAGAAAAACGAUGGAAAUUACAGGAAUAUAUUUUAUGCGAUUAUUGUAUUCGAUUUCGAUGGUGAUUAACUUCUCGAACGACUACAGAGAAAAUAUUCAAAAAGUUAUUGUACUUUCCGAAAUAGCUGCUAUAGAGUGUCUUGCGGACAAAAAAAAUCACCCUGUAUAAUAAACCGUGUUGAUAUUUACCUGUAUGUGACGUGUGUAUAAAUACUUAAACAACUGUGCAUAAUUAUUUUCGAAUAUAUAUUUGUCAAGUGUUUUUUUUUUUUUUUUCGGCUCGUAAUAAUAAUCGGUUUGAUAUCGAACGGUUGGUAGUCCAAUACCACACGUAUACCGAUAUUUUGAACGUUAUCUUUCCGCUAGUGUCUGCAUGUUGUAAUAUUGAAGGAAUGCAUGUAAAACGACCGCGUACUUAAUUAUUUUUGAAAAACCGUUGUGGACGGGGGGGGGAGGGAGGGAGGGAGGGAGGAGUGGCAAAAUACACGAAUACUACACGCGUUAUACCUAUACACCGUUACGGUAAAUAUGAAACUCAUAUUAAUAUAAUAUUAUGUCGGUAGGGUACUUGAGCGAAUAAUACUGAAAACCGAUGGAGUGGUCUUCGUCUCGCGGCCAAAGACGUGGAAUUCGAGUAAUUGCACGGGAACGGGAAGUGGCGUAUAGCAAUAAGAUUCUAUUAGUUCUCGUCUGGCGCACGGGUAAGAUGAAAUUAUUAAUAUCGGUUAAUUGGGCCGAUAAUAUUAAUAUUCGCGUGUACAAAUAUUACAAGGGCCGACGUCCUAUAUAAUAUAAUAGCAGUCUGCGACGAUUAGUCGGCAGAAGAAGCGGUCCUAGAAGUACUCUCGCGAAUAGGAAUAAUAAUUGACACUAAAACGUACCGUCUGUAUUAUAGCUACAAUUCCGAGAAAUUUCGGUUGAACACGCUCGACCGUAACACUGGAAGUUGAAGUGGCGGCAAAGGAUCCCGGGAGAUAAUACCGUAAGUACUCCAUUAAUGCGCAUGUUGUUAUAAACUGGGACGCUUAAAAUCUGCACCGAACAUAUCUGCGCGAAACCUGCGCAGGACCUUUUUCCUUUCGAUUUUUCUAAUAUCACUAUUUAUCUAUUCAAACGCUCGUGUAGGCUCAAGAACAACAUAUAAUUUAUAACGAAAAUUAAUGUAAAUACCAAUCAAUUGUCAAAAAAUCAGUCCUCUCGUCCAUUGUCUCCACGUAACAAUAUAACUUGACCGCCACUGGCUGAACGAAUAUCAAAACUUUUUAGAUACUGAGCGCAGCUAGGAAUGCGUAAGCGUUUUUUUUUUUUUUUUUUGCCCGUCUGUAAACAACUUUUUCGAUUUUAUUCCCUUUGCACUUUACUUGACGAUUGGGAAAAACAAAACAGUUUACGAUUAUUUUCGAUUAUGUUUUUUUUUUUUUAUAAAAUUUGGUUUAAAAGAUAUUUAAAAUUAUCACGGAAUAUUUAGCCUUCCCUAGACCAUUUAACAUUUUCUAGGUUUUUUUUUCGAUUUCAAUUGGUUUUAUGCAGAUGCGAUUUAUUUGGCCGAGCAGAAAUUCUGGAAAUAUUUCCACGACGUUCGUCAUAAGUUGUAGUUGUAAUCGUCAAGUUCAAAAUUUUUCGGAAAUCGUAAAUAUACUACCGCAUUUCUAAACAUGUACCUAUAACAGAACUUUGCUCAGGAUCGUAUUUCGUUAGCAAUGAUUUAUUGCAAACAAAAUAACUCUAUGCAUAUUACGUUUUCAAUUUCCCACCUAAUACAAUGGUACAUCCAUCAACAAUAUCAUCUCUUUUUUUUUUUUUUUAUCACGUCAACUUGUAUGUAAUAGACGGGAAGUAAUGGGUAAAAUGAAAACAAAAACGGUGAAUUAGAUUACACAGUAUUGUAUUAUUUUAUGUAAUUGACAUUGAUUUUAAAUAGUAUUCCUUGUGAGAAGAACCUGCAAAAAUAAAUUCUCAAUAAUAAACUUAAGAUAAUUUCAUAAGUUCAUAAAGUGCAAACGUCACAUGUCAAAUAACACUCAACGAUUGUUUAUACAUCAAAACUAUAGUCUUAGUUGAUAUAUGAUUUUGAAAAUUUUGAUAUAAUUAAUUUGACUUUAAUUUAAACAAAUCGCUCAUACAUUGUUUUUUUGUAUUACCAGAUCACAAUAAAUAAUGUUACUUUGAAAGUUUCUGUUUGACAAAUAGGGUAGGUACAUUUUCUAUUCGUUUCCCCUCUUUUUUUAAUAAUAUACGCAAUGGUAAUAAUGGCACACUCAAAUAAACGGUUGUUAAUGGAAAACUAUACGUACCACUUUACACGCUUUUCCUGCGACUAAUAAACAAUCCCGCGUAAGGCGAUAAAAAUAGGUACUAAAACAAAAAAUAAAAUAAAAAAAUGUAUAUUUCAAUUGUAACCGUAUAUUAUAGUACUUUUAGAUUACACGGAUUGGUUGCACUUACUAUUUACGAUUACGGUUCUAUUUCUAUCUUUUACUGUGGUUUUAAGCUUGUCGUAUUGUCGAAAAUAUAAGUCCGAAGAAAAAAUAUCAAACGUUUUGUACGUUUAUUAUCGUGCCGUUUAACCGUUACGCAGCAAUAUUAUCAUCCGGUUUAAAUCCUCCCCUCCUGGAUUGCAAAGCUAUCCGCGUCAUUGGCGCGCGCAAAGGGGAGGAGAGGUAAAGAUUAUACCCCCACCAUCGGCUUAAAAAUACGACGAUUAUGAGUUUAUUCGGCCGUUUAAUUUUUAUAUGUAUAUAUUUCAGUCGAGGCAUGAGAAAUAGCUUGAUUUAUUGAUUUUACUUAUUAGGAUCCGGCUUUUAAAUUCCCCAUAGUCGUGUUACGUAGAAAAGAAGGUUCUACGUUUUACUCGCGACUGUUAUUUGCCACGUCCCGUCCCAUUGAAAAUUCCCGGGCACGCCACUGAUCCGCGCAAACAUACUCCCGCACCAGCGCCCGAUUGUCCAUCGCAUAAUAAUAAAUUACCGAGCCAAACACAAGUGUCUAUAUUCUUGUUAUUAUAACGCGAAACAAAGCCAAUCGAAACGUAGGUUUAUUCGUAAUUGAAAAAAAUAACAAUAAAUCCAUUUUUAUCUAUAGGUUUUCGAAUAUUUUAAGUACUUCUCUAGAGUCCAUCCGUCUUUGUAAUAUGUAUAUUUAGUGUGUUUGAUCAUAAAUAAUUAAUCAACAUGUAAAUAUGAUUUUGUUGCAGACUAUUAUACAACUUUUCAAACGAUUAGACCUAAACAUUAAUUUAAUCUAGCGAACGUCAUUUAUAAACUUUAUAAUAUAAUAUAAUCAGUAUAUUAUAACCCGUUUAGUUUGAAUAUAAUAUAGAGUUAUAUUAUUAUUCGAAUUAAUUCGAGUCGAAGUUUCUUACAGUGGCGUAUAUUUACGAGAGGAGAUUAGGAAGAUAUAAUAUACGCAUACAAUACAUAAUAAUAUAAUUUAUCCUCUUGAAUUAUUUUCGGUUUUUAAUAUUUAUAAGAUAGGUACCCGUUUUUAAAUUAAAAUUUCUAUAUUUUUUAUUCGGACAAAUGUACAGUUAAAUGUUUACUGUGUCGGUACCUACAACCUAUAUCAAAAAAAAAAAAAACGUGAACACAAAUCGGUAUCCAAUCAAGGAGGUCAUUAGAAAAUCAGUACCGAGAUAAUCAGAUAGUAAAUCAAUUAAUAAUAAACAGUUACUCAACUAUUUGUAUAAUUAUACAAUAUGAUUCAAUUUCUAAAUUUCAACAUUUCCCUCUUCGGCGAAAUCCUAAAUACACCGCCGGUUUCUUAUUUAUAUACGUUGAUUAAUUUCAUACAGUUAUACGGGAUACAGUUUUAAAGUUGAAAAUAAAUAAAUAAAAAAUAAAAUUUUGUUGAACUAACGAAAAUAAAUACAUUUUAAAAAUCGUUAAUUUUAUAAAACAUUAAUAUCGGAUGAAAUAUGCACAUUAUAAAAUUAUAGUGAACCGUUUCAUAGACAUUUAUAAAUUUAUACUGAAAAAGUUUUAUUUCGUUUUUUUUUUUCUAUUUAGUUUUACGGAUUCUCUUCUUUUUUUUUUUUAAUUUUAUGUGACAUAUAAAUUAGUUUUAAAAGCUUCGCGCAAAAAUAAAUAAAUCAUUAGCGAAAAGUCGACAAAAAUAUUUUCAGCGGCAUAUUAAAUUAUUAUUAUAAAUAAUACAAUAAUAAUUGUUAUGUUUUAUUUCAUUAUAUUAAACAAUAUGUACGUGUACAUAUACCUAGGCUUUCAUCAGAUCUAGAAUCAAACGGAAUUUCUAAAGUGAUUUGUUUUUUUUUGUUUUGUUUUAUGCCCCGUGACUUUGUUGAUUUUUAUUUUCUGUAGACCGCACGGUUGUAUAAAAGGUACAAAGGGAUCGCAAUUUCGUAAAUGGAAACUAUACGCAUCAUAAUCAAAUUUCUGGUUGAGAUAAUAAUAAUAAAUAUCGUGACAAUUAAAUACAUUCGGUCGUUCUCGUAUUGUUCAAAUUGUCUUUAUUUUUAUUUCGUUUUAAAUUGAGUGUGGGUUUUACUUUAAAAAAAAAAAAAAAAAAAAAGAAGAAAAAAUAAAUAAAUACAGAUAUAGAAUAAUAGAUAUUAUUAUUACGCAUUGAAUUGGCCGCAGGAAGAAAAUAUAAUAAUAAUAAUAACAAUAAUAAUAAUAGUGAAUUCUUUGUCAUUUUUCUCGUCCGCGGCGGCGGUGGUGACGGAAUUCUUUACAUUUCAAAACAAAAACGAGAGCUCUCUAACGAUAUUUCUUGCCGUCGUCGUACAAAUUUGUAUUUAUGAGGACGCUAUAACACGUCAUGCAUUAGUUGUUGUUUUUGUCGUACAAACGCGCGAUGUAUUUAAAACAUGCUUACGCGGACUACACAGAUAUCGCUUGAUUUUGGUUUUAGAGAGCAAAAACAAAAAUUGAACAAAUUAAAUUAGACCAAUAUUCCGGGGACAAGACGUUGCGUUUUUUCCAUUUUCUGCGAACAGUUGCCCAACAGUCAAUUUACCGUUUAUAAAAUAUAACAACUUUUUCAACAUUUUUUUUUUUUUAAAUUCUCUAAAACUUUCGAAAAAGAAUAGUUGUUUUCAAAAAAAACUCAGUCUUGCCCGCCGGAAUGUUGUUUUCUAUAAAUUAAUUUCAUAAGAAGUGCUUUGGCUCUAAAACCAAAACCAAACGAGUUCUGUGUAGUCUGCGUAAGAAUGUUUUUACUAUAUCGUGUGUUUGUAAGACGGAAACAACAAAUACAUGCGAAUAUGUGUCCUCUUAAACUUUAUAAACGACGGCGGCGGUCAGUGACGUGCCCAGGGGAUGUAACAAAUACAAAUCGCGAAUAAAGAACAAAAUCGUCUUCUCUAGCCAACUCGACCAUGGGAAUUGGUAAUUUAAAAGCCGGAUCCUAAUAAAUAGCCAAUUUCUAAUCAAUACAUCAAGCUUUUCUUCGUAACUUUGCUGAAAUGUAUGCAUUUCGAUAUUAGACAACUCGUAUUUUUUUUGUAUUUUUAAGCCAAUGAGGUGGGGAUAUAAAUUCUAACUUCCCCCUCUGCGCAUGCCACUGGCGGCGGUGAACAAUACCCCCGCCGUCGGAUAUAAUACCGCCGUUCAUGAGCUAAACUGGUUUAAAAUAUAUACCCCUUUAAUAUUCUAAUAAUAUUUUUGUUUAAAUAUUCUCUUUUCGAGUGGCCACGAUAAUCUUAAAAUUUUCAAAACAUUCUUACGUAAUAUGAGCUAUUAAUAGGCAUCAGUUGACAUUUUUAUUUUUUUUUUUAGUUUUUAUGUGGUAGGUCUCAUGUAGAAAAAAUUGUUUAAAUAAACAGAAAUGAUUAAAGAAGUAACAUGAAAUUCAUCAAAAUUUGUACUUAAUAGUGGUAAAAAAGUUGAAAAUUUGAACGUAGUAGUUUUUAUAUGUACAAUAAACGAAUGUAUUUUUAACAGACGUCAAAAAGAGGAAGCUGUAUAAAAAUAUAUAACUCGAAUAAUUACGUAUUUUUUUCAAAAGUGUUCUAUGUAUAGAACAUAAGAUUUACAAACAUUUUGGCUGUUUAAAUACCGAAACAUUUCAUGCGGAGAUUAAUGAAAUUGAAUACAGUUCAAACAUUGCAUUUGGGUAUACAUACGAUGAUGAUGUAAAUUAAAAUAUGUUUUGGGAAAUGAAGCGGAAAAAAAUGUCAUUUGUUUGCCAAUAUAAUAUUUAUUUUUGUAAAUUUGGUGUUUCAGGUCGAAUUAAUUAAUAAAUUAAAAAUAUUAAUUCGGAUUUCAACUCGUGAAUUUUCAUUUCGAGAACGGUGUCAUGUACGUUGCAGCGUUUUAUUAAUCUACCUGGGCAUUUUAGUUGCGGGAAUCCAACACAAGUGCGGAUUUUUUUAUUGAAAAUGUAUUCAACGUCCAUCCGAUCAAUACGGUGACGGUAAGUAAAUAACAACCGAUUUUAAUAAUUUUGACAAAAAUACGAAUAAAAUCGCAAUAAUAUCGAAACAAAAAAUCUAACCGUUAUAUUAUGUGCAGUGGCACACAAAUAGAUGGGCAGUAUUAUGCGACACAGCGGUCUAGUAACUCUAUAAACAUAUUGAAAAUGUAAUUUCUAAUAAACCGACAAAAACGUAUAAGGUAUUUAACUAUAUAAUUUCUUUUUAUCUUUUCGGAAACGUCCAAAACAAAUAAACAGUUGUAACAUUAUAUUUUAC